rnacentral:rRNA from 1 species
AAGCACCGGCUAACUCCGUGCCAGCAGCCGCGGUAAUACGGAGGGUGCGAGCGUUAAUCGGAAUUACUGGGCGUAAAGGGUGCGUAGGUGGUCUGAUAAGUUAUCUGUGAAAUCCCUGGGCUCAACCUGGGCAGGUCAGAUAAUACUGUUGGACUCGAGUAUGGGAGAGGGUAGUGGAAUUUCCGGUGUAGCGGUGAAAUGCGUAGAGAUCGGAAGGAACACCAGUGGCGAAGGCGGCUACCUGGCCUAAUACUGACACUGAGGCACGAAAGCGUGGGGAGCAAACAGGAUUAGAUACCCUGGUAGUCCACGCUGUAAACGAUGUCAAC